rnacentral:rRNA from 1 species
GACGAACGCUGGCGGCGUGCUUAACACAUGCAAGUCGAACGGAAAGGCCCAGCUUGCUGGGGGCUCGAGUGGCGAACGGGUGAGUAACACGUGGGUGAUCUGCCCCUAACUUCGGGAUAAGCUUGGGAAACUGGGUCUAGUACCGGAUAGGACAAUCGUUUAGUGUCGGUUGUGGAAAGUUUUUUCGGUUAGGGAUGAGCCCGCGGCCUAUCAGCUUGUUGGUGGGGUAAUGGCCUACCAAGGCGUCGACGGGUAGCCGGCCUUAGAGGGUUGACGGCCACAGUGGGACUGAGAGACGGCCCAGACGCCUACGGGAGGCAGCAGUGGAGAAUAUUGCGCAAUGGGGGCAAGCCUGAUGCAGCGACGCCGCGUGGGGGAUGACGGCCUUCGGGUUGUAAACCUCUUUCGACAGGGACGAAGCUUUGGUGACGGUACCUGUAUAAGAAGCACCGGCUAACUACGUGCCAGCAGCCGCUGUAACAC